AACUGAUACUACCUGCGGGAACCUGCGGAAGGAUCAUUACUGAGUGAGGGCCCCUCGGGGUCCAACCUCCCACCCGUGUUUAACGAACCUUUGUUGCUUCGGCGGGCCCGCCUCACGGCCGCCGGGGGGCUCCUGCCCCCGGGCCCGCGCCCGCCGAAGCCCCCCCUUGAACGCUGUCUGAAGUUUGCAGUCUGAGAAACUAGCUAAAUUAGUUAAAACUUUCAACAAUGGAUCUCUAGA
rnacentral:misc_RNA from 1 species